rnacentral:rRNA from 1 species
UCAGGAUGAACGCUAGCGGCAGGCUAACACAUGCAAGUCGAGGGGCAGCGGGAUGUAGCAAUACAUUGCCGGCGACCGGCGGAUGGGUGCGUAACGCGUAUGCAACCUACCUUAUACAGGGGAAUAACCUUUCGAAAGGGAGACUAACACCCCAUGGUAUUGAUUUAAGGCAUCUUAGAUUAAUUAAAUAUUUAUAGGUAUAAGAUGGGCAUGCGUAUGAUUAGCUAGUUGGUAAGGUAACGGCUUACCAAGGCGACGAUCAUUAGGGGUUCUGAGAGGAAGGUCCCCCACACUGGUACUGAGACACGGACCAGACUCCUACGGGAGGCAGCAGUGAGGAAUAUUGGUCAAUGGGCGCAAGCCUGAACCAGCCAUGCCGCGUGCAAGGAAGACGGCCUUAUGGGUUGUAAACUGCUUUUACAUAAGACUAACCGUAUAUUUGCGAAUAUACCUGAAUGUAUUAUGAGAAUAAGGAUCGGCUAACUCCGUGCCAGCAGCUGC